GGCUUUAUAGUAUAAGAAAUACAUUGGAUUGCAAGUCUAAAAAUGUGAAGACACUGAGGCUU
rnacentral:tRNA from 1 species